rnacentral:rRNA from 1 species
AUGAGAUGCUUAUCUUGGAACUGUCACGGGCUUGGGAACCCGUAGACAGUUCGAGAACUUCACGAUCUAAUGAAGAUGGAAGGUCCCGCCUUGGUCUUCUUGUGUGAGACGAAGAUCGAGGGGAAGCGUGUAAGAGAGUUGACGGCCAGGCUUGGUUUUGAAGGGUGCUACCCAGUGAGUAGUGAUGGGCUUAGCAGAGGUUUAGCUUUGUUCUGGUCAAAAGAAGUG